GCAAUCUCUCGAGGAGAUCACGNNNUUUAGUAGGCAGGGUUUACGGCCAGGACUACAUGGGUAUCUAAUCCAUUUUGCGCCCCUGGCUUUCAUCCCUCACCGUCAGAGCUGUUCUCGUAGCGUGCCUUCGCCAUUGUUAGUCCGACCAAGAUCAACACAUUUUACCGCUACCUUGGUCGUACUCGCUACGUCUCCCAGUCUCUAGCCUUACAGUAUUUCUUGCAGCUGUUGGGUUAAGCCCAACAAUUUAACAAGAAACUUGCAAAGCCGGCUACGGAUGUUUUAGACCCAAUAAAAGUGAGUCCCACUCGGACCGCCGGGAUUACCGCGGCUGCUGGCACCGGUCUUGCCCAGUCCUUAUUCGCCAUGCUUUUUAGACAUGGCAAAAGCUAAUCUAAAAAGAUUAGCACUCAGAAUCCCUUUCUCACGCUUGCGCGCAUUGGAAAAUUUUCGCGCCUGCUGCACCCCGUCGGGCGGGGGCGGCGGGACGGGCGCGGGGC
rnacentral:rRNA from 1 species